rnacentral:rRNA from 1 species
UACGUAGGGGGCUAGCGUUAUCCGGAAUUACUGGGCGUAAAGGGUGCGUAGGUGGUUUCUUAAGUCAGAGGUGAAAGGCUACGGCUCAACCGUAGUAAGCCUUUGAAACUGGGAAACUUGAGUGCAGGAGAGGAGAGUGGAAUUCCUAGUGUAGCGGUGAAAUGCGUAGAUAUUAGGAGGAACACCAGUUGCGAAGGCGGCUCUCUGGACUGUAACUGACGCUGAGACGCGAAAGCGUGGGGAGCAAACAGGAUUAGAUACCCUGGUAGUCCCUGAG